rnacentral:rRNA from 1 species
GUUAAGUUAGAAAGGGCGCACGGUGGAUGCCUUGGCACUAGGAGCCGAUGAAGGACGGGACGAACACCGAUAUGCUUCGGGGAGCUGUAAGCAAGCUUUGAUCCGGAGAUUUCCGAAUGGGGAAACCCACCACUCGUAAUGGAGUGGUAUCCAUAUCUGAAUACAUA